rnacentral:rRNA from 1 species
UACGGAGGAUGCAAGCGUUAUCCGGAAUGAUUGGGCGUAAAGCGUCCGCAGGUGGCUAUGUAAGUCUGCUGUUAAAGCGUGAGGCUCAACCUCAUAAAAGCAGUGGAAACUACAUGGCUAGAGGGCGUUCGGGGCAGAGGGAAUUCCUGGUGUAGCGGUGAAAUGCGUAGAGAUCAGGAAGAACACCGGUGGCGAAAGCGCUCUGCUAGGCCGCAACUGACACUGAGGGACGAAAGCUAGGGGAGCGAAUGGG